UUGGUCGUCGAUCAGGCAAAG
ensembl:piRNA 21ur-3808 ncRNA